GCUCUACUCUGUUGAAGAACUCUUGGUAGACGACAGGGCACCAGUGAGAGCUGCACCAGGGAGCGGCUGUGUGAUGAAGCAAUGACAGAGGCCUGGACUUCUGGAACUUGUGCAAGAUGACCUGGGAGAUUCUCCAAGGAGGACCUUGAGCAGAUCGAUGAUGGCAUUGGCCACCCCUGCGAGAUCCAAGGGGCUGUGGUGUUCACGAAGCAAACCCCACAAAUAUCUGCACCCCUAAGGGAGGAUGAAGUCUAGUGGCCUUACACUUCCUUCAGAAGCAUGAGAAGGGCAAAGCUCAGCUGUGUUGUGAAAUAUUAAAAUAAAAUGGAGAAGAAGAAAAGAAAAGAAAGAACCAGUAUCAAACAGAACUUGAAUUCCUUCCAGCCUGUGGCUGACCAAAUAUCUUCUGCAAAUCUGCCUGUCUUCUUGACCUGCAGCAGAUGAUAAUAACAAUAACGGUGUGCUUAUCCUGUGCCAGGCGUGGCUUAAAGACUUCUCACAGAUACCAUAUCUAAUUUUCACAAUAACUGAAUAAAGUGGAGGCUAUCAACACCCGCAUGAUAGAGACAAAGAAAUCGGGGCUUAGAGAGCUUGAAAGCGGCAGAGCACCCAUAGGGGAAUCCCACAUCAACAGACAGUGAAGGUCCAGAGAAGAACCUUAUUUCCAUGGGAAACUGGAGCAAGUGUAAAAAGAGACGUGAAGACAAUAUGGUGAGAAAGAAGGAGAAAUUUUCUGUCCAAAGAUGCUUGAGUUCCUGUCCCCAGCUACAUCAUGAAGGCAGAGGAUCCUUUCCAACUCAGAUGAUACAAUCUCCUCUACUGGCUUGAGUGGAUGAUGAGAUGAAGGUUACUUCGCAACUCCGAACCCUGAUUCUCUUUUCCCUGAGACAGCAGUCACGAUAACCCAGGGUCACGGUGAGGACUAACAGAGGUCGCGUGUGGCCUGAUGCUGGACAUCAUUUCAUUGUUCUUUGUCGCUACAUUCUACUUCUUCCUUUGGACUGGAGAGAGAAGAUGGCUAGGUGUUUAGAGCACAUGGAUUGGGAUUUUUUUCAGCCCACAGCUUGAAGUGACCAUUUUUCAGAGCUAGAGGCUUUCAGCCCUUGUUAGACUUCACUGCAGACUUGGAAAGAAGCAGGUCGAUGCCAUGGCUGCAAGGCUACAGGACGUACACAUGGAUUUCGGAAACGUCUCUACGUCCAUCACCUCAACUCCUCCCACGCCCAAGCCCCUGUGAGCAAACA